rnacentral:rRNA from 1 species
AUUGAACGCUGGCGGCAUGCUUUACACAUGCAAGUCGAACGGUAACAGGCCGCAAGGUGCUGACGAGUGGCGAACGGGUGAGUAAUGCAUCGGAACGUGCCCAGUCGUGGGGGAUAACGCAGCGAAAGCUGCGCUAAUACCGCAUACGAUCUAUGGAUGAAAGCGGGGGACCGUAAGGCCUCGCGCGAUUGGAGCGGCCGAGGUCAGAUUAGGUAGUUGGUGGGGUAAAGGCCUACCAAGCCAACGAUCUGUAGCUGGUCUGAGAGGACGACCAGCCACACAGGAACUGAGACACCGCCCAGACUCCUGCGGGAGGCAGCCGUGGGGAAUGUUGGACAAUGGGCGAAAGCCUGAUCCAGCAAUGCCGCGUGCAGGAAGAAGGCCUUCGGGUUGUAAACUGCUUGUGUACGGAGCCAAAAGGCUCCCUCAACUACAGGGGGCUCAUGACGGUACCGUAAGAAUAAGCACCGGCUAACUACGUGCCAGCCGCCGCCGUAAAAC